rnacentral:rRNA from 1 species
AGAGUUUGAUCAUGGCUCAGAAUGAACGCUGGCGGCGUGCCUAACACAUGCAAGUCGAGCGAGAAAUCACACUUCGGUGUGAGAGUAGAGCGGCGCACGGGUGAGUAACGCGUGGAUAAUCUACCCAUGGAUUGGGGAUAACCCUGCGAAAGCGGGGCUAAUACCUGAUAGUCUGGUCAUUAUAUAGAUGAUCGGUAAAGGUGGCCUCUGAUACAAGCUACUGUCCGUGGAUGAGUCCGCGUCUCAUUAGCUGGUUGGUGGGGUAAUGGCCUACCAAGGCGACGAUGAGUAGCUGGUCUGAGAGGAUGAUCAGCCACACUGGGACUGGAACACGGCCCAGACUCCUACGGGAGGCAGCAGUGGGGAAUAUUGGGCAAUGGGCGCAAGCCUGACCCAGCAACGCCGUGUGAGGGAAGAAGGUUUUCGGAUCGUAAACCUCUGUCAGAAGGGAAGAAGUGGCAGAUAUUUAAUAUAUAUUUGCUUUGACGGUACCUUCAGAGGAAGCACCGGCUAACUCCGUGCCAGCAGCCGCGGUAAUACGGAGGGUGCAAGCGUUAUUCGGAAUCACUGGGCGUAAAGCGCGC